rnacentral:rRNA from 1 species
UACGGGGGGGGCAAGCGUUGUUCGGAAUUACUGGGCGUAAAGGGCUCGUAGGCGGCCAACUAAGUCAGACGUGAAAUCCCUCGGCUUAACCGGGGAACUGCGUCUGAUACUGGAUGGCUUGAGUUUGGGAGAGGGAUGCAGAAUUCCAGGUGUAGCGGUGAAAUGCGUAGAUAUCUGGAGGAACACCGGUGGCGAAGGCGGCAUCCUGGACCAGCACUGACGCUGAUGAGCGAAAGCCAGGGGAGCAAACGGG